rnacentral:lncRNA from 1 species
GAAUAUGCCAGUUGUAGACUCGAACGACAAGACGAACAAUGAAAUUUCAUGCAAUACCAAUCAUGACGCUGUUGACUAUCUAGCAGUUGAGGAAAAACUUGAAGAACCAGCAGUUGAAGAAAAACAUGAAGAACCAACAGUUGAAGAGAAACCUAGAGAACCAGCAGUUACGGAGAAACAUGAAGAACCAGCGAUUGAGGAAAACCCAGCUGUGGAAGAAAAACUUGAAGAACCAGAGGUUGAGGAGAAACAUGAAAAACCAGCAGCUGAAGAGAAACCUAGAGAACUAGUAGUUGAAGAAAAAGCUGAAGAACCAACACCGGAAGAACUAGAAUUUGAAGAGAAACCUGAAGAACCAACUGCUGAAGAAAUACCUGAACAAUUAGUAGUUGAAGAGAAAUCUGAAAAACCAGAGGUUAAAGAGGAGAAGUCUGAAAAGGUAACUCUCUUGGAAAAAGUGAGGAUCAAGCACUAUCACAAAGUUUAUCCAUCCUAUUAGUUCUGUAUGUGCAAAGAUUCGUAUCUACUUAUCAAUUGAAAGAUUAAGUGAAACUUUAAAUUCUUCUUGCAGAAUAUGUCAGUUGUAGAUUUCAAUGAGAAGACUGACAGUGAAAUUCCAUGCAAUACCAACAAUGAUGUUGCCGACUAUGUAUCAGUUGAGGCAAACCUUGAAGAACCGGUAGUUGAAGAAAAACCUGAAGAAACAACGGUUGAGAAGAAACCUGAAGAACCAUCAAUUGAGGAGAAACGUGAAACACCAGCAUUUGAGAAGAAACCUGAAGAACCAAUAAUUGAGGAGAAACCUGAAGAACAAACAAUUGAAGAGGAGAAACAUGAAAGGAUAACUCUCCUGGAAAAGGUGAGGAUCAAGCAUUGUCACAAAGUUUAUCCAUCUUGUUAGUCGUGUAUACGAUACAAUUUACAUAUGCUUACCUACUGAAAGACUAAGUAAGACUUUAAAGUUCUUCUUGCAGAGUAUUCCAGUUGUAGUCCCGAACGACAAAACUGAAAGUAAAACUCCAAGCAUUACAAACAAUAAUGCUGCUCACUUUUCAGAAGUUGAGGAAAACCCUGAAGAACCUGCAGUAAAAGAAAAAACUGAAAAACCAGUUCUUGAAGAGAAACCUGAAGAACCAACAGUUGAAGAGAAAUCUGAAGAACCAGUUGAGGAGAAACCUGAAGAACCAACAGCUGAAGAGAAACCUGAAGAACCAGCAACUAAAGAAAAACAAGUGCUAGUAGGGGAGGAAACAGCUGAAGAACUAGCGCUUGAAGAGAAACCUGAAGAACUAACGAUUGAACAGACAGAUGAAGAACUAGUUGUUGAAGAUAAAACUGAAAAACCACCAAAUAAAGAGGAGAGACCUGAAACGGUAACUCUCCUUUAGCAGUGUCACAGAGUUUAUCCAUCCUAUUAGUUCUAUAUGUGCAACGAAUUCAUAUCUGUUUAUCUAUUGAAAUACUAAGUGAAAAUUCAAAUUUUCUUGCAGAAUUUGCCCAUUGCAGACUCAAAGGACCAGACUGACAAUGCAAUUCCAUGCGAUACCAACAAUGAUAUUGCUGACUAUGCAACAGUUGAGGAAAAACCUGAAGAAACAGUAGUUGAAGAAAAACAUGAAGAACCUGCAAUUGAAAAGAAAUUUGAAGAAUCAACAGUUAUGGAGAAACCUGAAGAACCAGCAGUGGAAGAAAAACCUGAAGAACCAACAGUUAAAGAGGAACCUGAAAAAUCAGUGAUGGAAGAGAAACCUGAAGAACCAAUUGUUGAGGAGAAACUUGAAGAACCAACUGUUGAAGAGAAACCUGAAAAAUCACUGAUUGAAGAAACACCUGAAGAACCAAUAUGGGAAGAAACACCUAAAGAACUAGCAUUUGAAGAGAAACCAGAAGAACCAGCAGUUGAAGAGGAGAAACCUGAAAAGGUAACUCUUUUGGAAGAGGUGAGUAUCAAGCAUUAGCACAUAGUUUAUCCAUCAUGUUAUUUCUGUAUGUGCAUCGAUUCACAUCUGCUUAUCUAUUGAAAGUCUAAAUGAGACUUUAAAUUCUUCUUGCAGAAUAUACCAGCUGUAGAUUUCAACGACAAGACUGACCGUGAAAUUCCAUGCGAUACCAACAAUGAUAUUGCUGACUAUGCAACAGUUGAGGAAAAACCUGAAGAACCGGUAGUUGAAGAAAAACAUGAAGAACCUGCAAUUGAAAAGAAAUUUGAAGAAUCAACGGUUAUGGAGAAACCUGAAAAACCAGUGGUUAAGGUACAACCUGAAGAACCAGCAGUGGAAGAAAAAGUUGAAGAACCAACAGUUAAUGAGGAACCUGAAAAAUCAGCGAUGGAAGAGAACCCUGAAGAAUCAAUUGUUGAGGAGAAACUUGAAGAACCAACUGUUGAAGAGAAACCUGAAAAAUCACUGAUUGAAGAAACACCUGAAGAACCAAUAUGGAAAGAAACACCUAAAGAACUAGCAUUUGAAGAGCAACCAGAAGAACCAGCAGUUGAAGAGGAGAAACCUGAAAAGGUAUCUCUUUUGGAAGAGGUGAGUAUCAAGCAUUAUCACAUAGUUUAUCCAUCCUGUUAUUUCUGUAUGUGCGACGAUUCACAUCUGCUUAUCUAUUGAAAGACUAAAUGAGACUUUAAAUUCUUCUUGCAGAAUAUGCCAGCUGUAGAUUUCAACGACAAGACUGACUGUGAAAUUCCAUGCAAUACCAACAAUGAUGUUGCUGAAUAUGUAGCAAUUGAGGAAAACCUUGAAGAACCAGCAGUUGAAGAAAAACAUGAAGAACCAACAGUUGAGGAGAAACCUGAAGAACUAGCAGUUGAAGAGAAACCCGAAAAACCAACAAUUGAGGAGAAACAUGAAGAACCAAUAGUUGAGAAGAAACCUGAAGAACCAGUAGUUGAGGAGAAACCAGAAGAACCACUAAUUGAAGAGGAGAAAUCUGAAAGGGUAACUUUCCUAGAAAAGGUGAGGAUCAAGCAUUGUCAAAAGGUUUAUCCAUCUUAUUAGUUGUGUAUGUGCGACGAUUCACAUCUGCUUACUUAUUGAAAGACUAAGUGAAACUUCAAAAUUCUUGCAGAGUAUGCUAGUUGUAGACUCGAACGACAAGACUGACAGUGAAAUUCCAUGCAAUACCAACAAAGAUGCUGCCCACUUUCCCGAAGUUGAGGCAAACCCUGAAGAACCAGCAGUUGAAGGAAAACCUAAAGAACCCGUUGAUGAAGAGAAACCAGAUGUACCAGUGGUUGAGAAACCUGAAAAACAAAUGGUUGAGGAGAAACUUGAAGAACCAAUGAUUGAGGAGAAAUCUGACGAACUAGUCGAGGAGAAAUCUCAACAACCAGCGGCUGAAAAGAAACCUGAAGAACCAGCAGCUAAAGAAUCACUUAAAGAGCUAGCAGGGGAGGAAACAACUGAAGAACUAGCACUUGAAGAGAAACUUAGAGAACCAACAGUUGAAGAACUAGUUCUUGAAGAUAAACCUGAAAACCCAGAAAAUGAAGAGGAUAAACUUGAAACAGUAACUCUCCAGGAAAAGGUAAGAAACAAGCAGUGUCACAGAGUUUAUCCAUCCUAUUAGCUCUACAUAUGCAAUGAAUUCACAUCUGUUUAUCCACUGAAAGACUAAGUGAAACUUUAAAUUUUUCUUGCAGAAUUUACCAAUUGCAGACUCAAACGACAAGACUGACAAUGCAACUCCCUGCAAUAACAACAAUGAUAUUGCUGACUCUGCAGCAGUUAAGGAAAAAACUGAAGAACCAGUAGUUGAGGAAAAACAUGAAGAACCGGCAACUGAAGAGAAAUCUGAAGAAUCAGAAUUUAUGAAAAAAACUGAAGAACCAGCGGUUGAGGUAAAACCUGAAGAACCAUCAGUGGAAGAGAAGCCUGAAGAACCAGCGGUUAGGAAAAAUCCUGAAGAACCAGCAGUUAAUGAGGAACCUGCAAAAUCAGCAACGGAAGAGAAACCUGAAGAACCAAUUGCUGAGGAGAAACUUGAAGAACCAACUCUUAAAGAGAAACCUGGAAAACCAGUAAUUGAAGAAACACCUGAAGAACCAACACUGGAAGUAACACCUAAAGAACAAGCAGAGAAACCUGAAGAACCAGUUGAAGAGGAAAAAACUGACAAGGUAACUCUUUUGGAAAAGGUGAGCAUCAAACACUGUCACAAAUUUUUGCCAUCAUAUUAGUUCUGUAUGUGCAACAAUUCACAUCUAAUUAUCCAUUGAAAGACUAAGUGAAACUUUAAUUCUUCUUGCAGAAUAUACCAGUUGUAGAUUUCAAUGAUACGACUGACAGUGAAAUUCCAUGCAAUACCAACGACGAUGUUGCUGAAGACGUAGCAGUUGAGGAAAACCUUGAAGAACCAUCAGUUGAGGAGAAACCUGAAGAAUUAGCGGUUGAAGAGAAACCUGAAAAACCAGCAAUUGAGGAGAAACGUGAAGAACCAAUAAUUGAGAAGAAACCUAAAGAACCAGCAGUUGAGGAGAAACCUGAAGAACAAACCGUUGAAGAGAGACUUGAAGAACCAACAAUUGAAGAUGAGAAACUUGAAGAACCAACAAAUGAAGAUGAGAAACUUGAAAGGGUAACUCUCCUAGGAAAGGUGAGGAUCUAGCACUGUCACAAAGUUUGUCCAUCCUAAUAGUUUUAUACGUGCAAGACUUUCAGAUCUGCUUAUUGAAAAACUAAAUGAAACUUUAAAUUCUUCUUACAGAAUAUGCAAGUUGUAGACUCCAUCGACAAGACUGACUGUGAAAUUCCAUGCAACACCAACAAUGAUGUUGCUUACCAUCCAGCAGUUGAGGAAAAUCUAGAAAAAACAGCAAUUGUGGAAACAACUGAUGAACCAGUGGUUGAAGAGAAACCUGAUGUACCAGCGAUUAAGGAGAAACCUGAAGUACCAAAUAUUGAGCAGAAACUUGAAGAGUUAGCAGGAGAGGAAACACAUGAAGAACUAGCAGUUGAAGAGAAACUAGAAGAACCAAUUACUGAAGAGACACCUGCAGAACUAGUUAUAGAAGAGAAACCUGAAAACCCAGCAGUUGAAGAGGAGAAACCUGAAACAGACGCUCUCCAAACGAAGGUCAGGAUUAAACAUUGUCACAAAAUUUAUCCAUCCUAUUAGCUUUAUAUGUGCAAGGAACUCACAUAUGCUAAUCUAUUGAAAGACUAAGUCAAACUUUAAAUUUUUCUUGCAGAAUAUGCCAAUUGUAGACUCAAAGGACAAGAUUGACAUUGAAAGUCCAGGCAAUAUCAACAAUGAUGGUGCUGACUAUCCAGAAGUUGAAGAUAAACCUGAAGAACUAGCAGUUGAAGAAAAACAUGAAGAACAAGCAAUUGAAGAGAAGCCUGAAGAACCAGCAAUUAAGGAAAAAGCUGAUGAACCAGCAGUGCAAGAAAAACUUGAAGAACCAGCUGUGGAAAAGAAACCUGAAGAACCAGUGGCUACGGAGAAACCUGAAGAACCAGCAAUUAAGGAAAAAGCUGAUGAACCAGCAGCGCAGGAGAAACCUGAAGAACCAGCUGUGGGAAAGAAACCUGAAGAACCAGUGGCUACGGAGAAACCUAAAGAACCAGCAAUUAAGGAAAAAGCUGAUGAACCAGCAGUGCAAGAGAAACCUGAAGAACCAGCUGUGGAAAAGAUACCUGAAGAACCAGCAGUCGAGGAGAAAUUUGACGAACCAGCAGUUGGAGAGAAAUCAGAAGAACCAGUAGUUGAACAAACACCUGCAGGACCAGCAUGGGAAGAAACACCUAAAGAACUAGCAUUUGAAGAGAAACCUGAAGAACCAGCAGUUGAAGAAACACCUGAAGAACCAGCAGUUGAAGAAACACCUGAAGAACUAGCAGUUGAAAAGAACCCUGAAAAAACAGCAGUCGGAGAGAAACAUGAAAAAGUAACUCUCUUGGAAAAGGUGAGGAUCAAGCACAAUCACAAAUUUUAUCCAUCCUAUUAGUUAUGUAUGUGCAACAAUUCACAUCCGCCUGGUGGAAGAUUAAGUUAAACUUUAAUUCUUCUUGCAGAAUAUACCAAUUAUAGAGUUAAACGAGAAGAAUGACAGCUCAACUCCUUGCAAUACCAACAAUGAUGUUGCUGACUAUCUAGCAGUUGAGGAAAAACCUGAAGAACCAGCCAUUGAGAAAAAACCUGAAGAACCAAUGGCUAAGGAGAAACUUGAAGAACCGAAUGUUGAGGAUAAACCUGAAAAAUCAGUGAUAGAGGAGAAAUCUGAAAAACUAGCAACUGAAGACAUACUUGAAGAGCGAGCAGGGGAGGAAACACCUGAAGCACUAGCAGUUGAAGAGAAACCUGACGAAUCAGCAGUUGAAGAGACAGUUGAAGAACUAGCUAUUGAACAGAAAUCUAAAAAAACAGCAACUGAAAAAGAGAAACCUGAAGCCGUAACUCUCCUGGAAAAGGUGAUCAACCACUGUCACAGGGAUUCCUUGCUCUAUAUGUGCAAGGAAUUUACAUCUACUUAUCUAUUGAAAGAUUUAGUGAAACUUUAAAUUCUUCUUGCAGAAUAUGCCAGUUGUAGAUACAAAGGACGAGAUUAACAGUGAAAUUCCAUGCAAUGCCAGCAAUGAUGUUUCUGACUAUCCAGCAGUUGAGGCAAAACCUGAAGAACUAUCCGUUGAAAAAAAAUAUGAAGAACCACCAGCAGUUAUAUUGGAGAAACCUGCAGAACUAGCAGUUGAGGAGACACCUGAAAAAACACUAGUUGAAGAGAAGCCUGAAAACCCAGCAGCACGGGAAGAAACACUUGAAGAACCAGCAUUGGAAGAAACACCUGAAGAACCAACAGUUGAAGAGAAACCUGAAGAAGUAGUAGUUGAAGAAAAACUUGAUAAACCAGCAACUGAAAAAGAGAAACCUGAAAAGGUAACUUUCUGCGAAAAGGUGAGGAUCAAGCACUACCACAAAGUUUGCCAAUCCUAAUAGUUUGUAUGUGCAAGGAAUUCACAUAUGCUUAUUUAUUGAAAGACUAAGUGAAACCUUAAAUUCUUCUUGUAGAAUAUGCCUGUUGUAGACUCAAAUGGUAAGACUGGCAGUAAAAUUACAUGCAACACCAAUAAAGAUGUUGCUGAUAAUCCAGCAGUUGAGGAUGAAGAACCAGAAGUUGAGGAGAAACCUGAAGAACCAACAGUUGAAGAAAAACCUGAGGAACCAGCAAUGGAAGGAAAACUUGAGAAACUGGCAGUUGAAGAUAAACUUGAGGAACGAGCAGUUGAACAGAACCCUGAGGAAACAGCAGUUGAACCUGAAGAACCAACAGUUGAAGAAAAACCUGAAGAACCAGCAAUGGAAGGAAAACUUGAGAAACUGGCAGUUGAAGAUAAACUUGAGGAACGAGCAGUUGAAAAGAACACUGAGGAAACACCAGUUGAAGAAAAACUUGAGGAACCAGUAGUUGACAAAAAAGCUGAAGAACUAGCGGUUGAAGAGAAACUUGAAGAACCAUUAGUUAAAGAAAAGCCGGAAGAACAAAGCAGGGAAGUAACUGAAGCUCCCAUAAAAGAGGCAAAGCUUAACCAGAAUGCAAAUGAAGCAAGCAGCAGUCUGCCAACAGCUAUUCUAAGCCAUCCGCCUGCUCAAGGGACAACAAUGACCAACCCAAUAUUGGGAGAACCAAUUAGUAUUGACAAACCUAAAAACGUGCAACAGCUAGAUUCUCAAGAAAUAUCAGAAAUUGAUGAGGCAAUGCAGAGAGAUGAAGAUAACAUAAAGCAGAAGGAUGAGGCUUCUUUCACUGAAGAGCAGAAGUUUACACCACAGAGUGAGUAAUACUAGUUCACAGACAUGCUUUCCCUAUCCAAUUGAUUUUAUUUGCAAUGGAAAAUGGUGAUACUCUUUAGAGAACAGAUCCAAGAGAUUUAACCAUAGUAUCACUCGCAAAAAGUAGAAAAAACAAUUAUAAAAAUGGAACCAAUCUCUAAAAGGAAGCUGAAAUGGAGAGAAGCACCAGAGACAAGCGCCUUUCUGGUUUGGAGAAACCUUGAAAAAAUAGAAUGCACAUCCACAGUAUUUAGCAAUAAUGAUCAUCUAUCAUUACAUACAUGAACAUAAUUAAUUUAUUACUACAUGGAUAUAAUAAAGAAAUCCUAUGAUAUGCUGUUGCUAAGAUAUUAGGACUAGCAGCAUUCAUUAAGUCGUAAAUUGCUAUAUGAAUGUAACAAGCACCUUUUUGGGGGUUCAAAGAUUUCUAGUCACUUCAAUAAUGACUAGAUGUGGUAUUAACAUCUACUACCGACAUAUUGCAGGUGAUGAAAAUCAAAAUACUUCGACAGGGGAUAGUUUCUUAAAUAAGAACAUGUUCGCUGAAGGUGAAGCUGUGCACAUUAAUAGUCAAGAGGAUCUAAUCAGGCAAGAAAUUUCAGGAAGCACAAAAUCUGAGAUAAAUCCAAAUUCAAGUAAAGGAACAGAAAGUGAGGCAAGUGAUAUUGCUAAUAGAGAAGGAUCAAGCAGACUUGGUUAAGCAAAUAAUUUAGUUGCUCUUCAUCCUUAUUGUUCUAAACUUGAUGAGCUACUUGGUUAUGCAGGUAAACGAGCAUCCAGAAGGACCAGAAGUACCAAAACAAAGUGAUGAAAGGGGGAAAUGUAUAGUACAGAAGCAAGAAGAUUCUGUUCGCAACCAGGAAGAACUGUUUGUUGAAGAAAAAAUGAGAUCUUGUGAAGAGGUUGAAACAGAGGUAUUAAAUGAUCUGGCUUCUAUUAAUACUCUGAUCUUUCCUGUCCAUAGACUAAUGAUAGCCAAAACUAUAACUUCAAACAGAUAAGCAAACUUAAAGAUAUAAAUGCUGGUGAUGGAACAAAUAAAAACAUUAUGGAAAAAGAAGAAAAGACCCUGGACAAAAUUCUGACGUCCACCAAAGAAGAAAUUGGUACCAAGAACUCUGAAGAAGGCCAAGUGCUUUCAGAGAUUCCCAGUCAAGAGGUUAAGUGACCAUAGAAGCCUGUUCUUUAUUCAUAUAUGUAACUCGCAGAUAUAAAGAUGCGUCCUCUCUUUCUACUAAAAUCACUUAAAUACCCUCUUUUUCAAAUCUGCAGAACUUUCAACAAGCUAAUUUAAUCAGAGAUGAAGCUUUAUUGAAAGAUGAGCGUGGAAUCGAGAACUUCAUGGUAGUUUCUUCAGAAGAAAUUAGCUGUGAAGGCUCUAUUGAAAAGGUAAACGAAAUGAGAACCUGAGAAUGAAUCAGCCAAUUAACAUCAAGGCAUUCAUAUGGCAACCAUUCACUGAGGGUCUUAAGUUUAUUGCAUGCAUAUGAAUUCUCGUGCCACCUUGUCUUUCUGGAAGAAACAUUGAAAUUCAAGUCUGAAAGUAUUCGAAGUAUACAGUUCUUAGUAACUACUAACUACUAUAAAUUUAAAGUUCUCCGUACAAAACAAAAUAAGUCUUCACUUCCUUUCCCAGAGUUUUUGUUUAUUUUGUAGUUAUUGCAUAAAAUGGGAAGCAAUGCAUGAUAAGAUGAUAUAUACAAGAAAUAGAAAAUUAAUUCUCUGCUGAUAGAGUAUAUUCCAUUGCACAAAUGUAGACCAUCUUUGAUCUUUUAUUUGUUUAUUUAUUUAUUUUGUUCGAGGCUGUAACAAGUGAGACAUCCUAGUAUCAUUGGGAUUCUUAUGUGCGACUUUUGAAAAAUAAGCCGAAACAAAAAUUAGCCAAAUGCUGACAAAUGGGUAUGACUUAUUUUUCUGAAAAAGAACUGACCAUUGACAUUGCAAAUCGAGUAUUCCUUUGAGUCUUUGAAACAAUAAGUUGCAAGGGAAGGUUUAAGCAAAUUUCAAAUAUUGCAGCUAGAUGCCUUCAUGCAUUUAUUCUAAUCAUUUUAUUGGUUUUCUUCGGCAGACUCUUUAACAUUGACAAAAAGAAAGAGAUUCUUCUUGGAGAAUUAUCAGUUAAUAAAGGAAGAGGCAGUGGAAACUCUUUCUGGGAGAAAUUCCAAAAUAUGACCUUAAGAGAAUUCACAUGACGUUAAGCUAGAAACCAAGGACUUAAACCACUAGGCCACGGUAACUGUAUUUCAGUUAUAAACAGGAAUCUUGCUAAAAUUAUAAGUCCCAAACCUCAUCAUGUAGAUAUCUGUUAACUUGAUAUAGUGCUCGGCAGUUGACAAUUACUAAAACCACCUGGAGAUUAAGAUAUGAACACCUUCUUCUCUCGUUAGAAUGAUUCUUAAAUGCAUAACUCCUUGUCCUUUUCUCACCAGUGUAUGAAACAUACUAAACAAUGGUAGCACUCAAAAUAUUCUGAGCAAUCACGAUCAUUGUUGCAGAACAGUUGAGCAUGUGUAGUAAUCCUAUGCGAGAUGAAACCAAAAGAAUUUCACCAUCCUAUUAGUUCCGUAUGUGUAAGGAAUUCACAUCUACUUAGCUAUUGAAAGACUAAGUGAAACUUUAAAUUCUUCUUGUAGAAUAUGCCAGUUGUAGACUCGAAUGACAAGACUGACGGUGAAAUUUCAUGCGAUACCAACAAUGAUGUUGCUGACCAUCCGGCAGUUGCAGAAAAACUCGAUGAUUCAGCAGUUGAAGAGAAACCCAAGGAAUGGAUCGUUGAAGAGAAACUGGAAGAAACAGCCAUUGAGGAGAAACUCGAAGAACCAGCAGUUGAGGAGAAACCUAACAAACCAGCGGUUAAAGAGACACCUGAAGAACCUGCAGUGAAAGAAACACCUGAACAACCAACGGUUGAAGAGAAACCUCAAGAACCAGCAAUUCAAGAGAAACCUCAAGAACCAACAGUUGAAAAGAAACCUGAAGAACCAACAAUUGAUGAAGAACUUGAAGAGCCAACAGUUGCGGAGAAACCUGAAGAACCAGCAGUUAAAGAAAACCAUGUAGAACCAGAAGUUGAUGAAAAACGUGAAGAACCACAAGUUGAAGAAAAACAUGAGGAACCAGCAGUUGAAGAAAAACCUAAAGAACCAAAAGUUGAGGAGAAACCGGAAGAACCAGCGGUUGAGGAGAAACCCGAAGAACCAGCAGUGAAAGAAACACCUGAAGAACCAGCGGUGAAAGAGACACCUGAGGAACUAGCAGUUGAAGAGAAACCUGAAGAACCAGUAGCUGACAAAAAACUUGAGGAACCAACAGUUGAGCAGAAACCUGAAGAACCAGCUGUUGAUGAAAAAGGUGAAGAACCGUCAGUUGAAGAAAUACCUGAGGAAUCGGCAGUUGAAAAUUUUGAAGAAGCAGCAGUAGAAGAGAAACCUGAAGAACCAACAGUUAAGGAAAAAACUGAAGAAGCACCCACUGAAGAAAAACCCGACGACCAAGCAGUUGAAGAGAAACCUAAAGAACCACCAGUUGGAGAAGAACCCAAAGAACAAAAUAGGGAAGAUACUGAAGCUGCCACAGAAAGAAUUGAUGAAUCUGGAACACAUAUAGUAGAGAAAGAAAAAGCUUUGAUUGGAAAACAGACAGAAUUGUUUGUCGAAGAA